rnacentral:rRNA from 1 species
AGAGUUUGAUCAUGGCUCAGAUUGAACGCUGGCGGCAGGCCUAACACAUGCAAGUCGAGCGGUAGCACAGAGAGCUUGCUCUCGGGUGACGAGCGGCGGACGGGUGAGUAAUGUCUGGGAAACUGCCUGAUGGAGGGGGAUAACUACUGGAAACGGUAGCUAAUACCGCAUAACGUCGCAAGACCAAAGUGGGGGACCUUCGGGCCUCAUGCCAUCAGAUGUGCCCAGAUGGGAUUAGCUAGUAGGUGGGGUAACGGCUCACCUAGGCGACGAUCCCUAGCUGGUCUGAGAGGAUGACCAGCCACACUGGAACUGAGACACGGUCCAGACUCCUACGGGAGGCAGCAGUGGGGAAUAUUGCACAAUGGGCGCAAGCCUGAUGCAGCCAUGCCGCGUGUGUGAAGAAGGCCUUCGGGUUGUAAAGCACUUUCAGCGGGGAGGAAGGCGUUGAGGUUAAUAACCUUGUCGAUUGACGUUACCCGCAGAAGAAGCACCGGCUAACUCCGUGCCAGCAGCCGCGGUAAUACGGAGGGUGCAAGCGUUAAUCGGAAUUACUGGGCGUAAAGCGCACGCAGGCGGUCUGUCAAGUCGGAUGUGAAAUCCCCGGGCUCAACCUGGGAACUGCAUUCGAAACUGGCAGGCUAGAGUCUUGUAGAGGGGGGUAGAAUUCCAGGUGUAGCGGUGAAAUGCGUAGAGAUCUGGAGGAAUACCGGUGGCGAAGGCGGCCCCCUGGACAAAGACUGACGCUCAGGUGCGAAAGCGUGGGGAGCAAACAGGAUUAGAUACCCUGGUAGUCCACGCCGUAAACGAUGUCGAUUUGGAGGUUGUGCCCUUGAGGCGUGGCUUCCGGAGCUAACGCGUUAAAUCGACCGCCUGGGGAGUACGGCCGCAAGGUUAAAACUCAAAUGAAUUGACGGGGGCCCGCACAAGCGGUGGAGCAUGUGGUUUAAUUCGAUGCAACGCGAAGAACCUUACCUGGUCUUGACAUCCACAGAACUUAGCAGAGAUGCUUUGGUGCCUUCGGGAACUGUGAGACAGGUGCUGCAUGGCUGUCGUCAGCUCGUGUUGUGAAAUGUUGGGUUAAGUCCCGCAACGAGCGCAACCCUUAUCCUUUGUUGCCAGCGGUUAGGCCGGGAACUCAAAGGAGACUGCCAGUGAUAAACUGGAGGAAGGUGGGGAUGACGUCAAGUCAUCAUGGCCCUUACGACCAGGGCUACACACGUGCUACAAUGGCAUAUACAAAGAGAAGCGACCUCGCGAGAGCAAGCGGACCUCAUAAAGUAUGUCGUAGUCCGGAUUGGAGUCUGCAACUCGACUCCAUGAAGUCGGAAUCGCUAGUAAUCGUAGAUCAGAAUGCUACGGUGAAUACGUUCCCGGGCCUUGUACACACCGCCCGUCACACCAUGGGAGUGGGUUGCAAAAGAAGUAGGUAGCUUAACCUUCGGGAGGGCGCUUACCACUUUGUGAUUCAUGACUGGGGUGAAGUCGUAACAAGGUAACCGUAGGGGAACCUGCGGUUGGAUCACCU